AUACAAAAUAAGCCUUGAAAAAUUGUUGGCGCCCACCACACUCUUCUGAAAACAUGAAUGUGCUACUGGCCACAAAAAGGUUGGGGACCACUGAAUUAGAAGAUGACAUUUAAACACAGUGUUUGGCCUAAUAAUUCUUUCACUAUUCAGAUAUUCAUGUGCUUUAGACCAUCAGGAGUUGCCCAUAGUGUUGUUAAUGUAAACACGGCAGCUUGCUAAAUUAUAUUGUACAUAUCUCUGAAAUUGUUGAGUGCAUCUUUAAAAUCUCAGUCCUUGACCAAUAAAUAAGUAAAUAGAGAAGGGAGGAUUAACAUAUGUUAAAGUUACUAUUUGAAAUGUUGGUGAGUGAAUAUGUAAUAGAGUAAAAGAUUAAAGGGAUAAUGUCUCCAGUUAUCUAAAAUCAAGGAUUGUAUUGUGCAUUAGAAAUUCAAAUUCCUAGGUGAGAGUUGUUUUAGUCACAAUUAUAACCCUCACUUCAGAGGAUGGCAGUGCUUUCCAAACUACUGAGACGUUUUAAAAGUAAAGCUGCCAACAGUCUUGACAGUGUCCCUUCACUAAAGUCGUCUUUCUAUUAUCCUGAACAGUUUGUUGCAUUAGCUCUUUUGCGAAUAAUGAGUUAUGGAGUAGAAGCUAAAACUCAUUAACACACUAAAAUUUGAGUUAUGCUGUAUUAGUUAUCCACUAUAGUGAGUUGUUCUUUAUUAGUUCUUCAGUCUGUAUAUCACUGAAACCACAUACUCUAUGUAGAUAGAUCCUUAAAAUGGGUCUGACUUGAACUCUUGUGAAUACUUCUGCUCCAGGCCUGCCCCCAACCACAUCCCUGGCUCCUGCCCCGAGCCUUGGUCCCUGACUUUACAGCUCCGCCCCCAGCCUCCGUUCCCGGCCCCAGACCUGCCCCCAGCCUCAGCCCUAGCUCCCUUACCCUGUCCAUGUCCUGCCAACCUUCCCCCCUCCCCCCGCCUGUGCGAGCUGCAGCCCUGGUCCUGGCUCCAGUGUGGGAGGGGCGUGACUGUGAAAAGUUUGGGGACCACUACACUAGACAGACUGGUAAAUUCUCUCAAAUAAAUUACAGAACGCAUAAAAAAAUCUAAAUUUCUGAAAUUAUCGUAAAAUGCUUUGAAAUCUACCAAAAAAAGUGCUAUUUAAGUGCUAAGUGUGAUGCUUCCAGAGAGUCCCUAGGGUUUUGAGGCCCCUCACUACCACCUUCUGUUAGCAUGAGGAAGUAGUGUCUGUGCCUGCCUUGGGUCAACUCCACCAGCCACAGGCAACACUAGCACUCUGCUCUAGGCCUCCAGGCCCCACUAUCACUCUACAGGUUGGCAAUAGGCAAACUCCAACCAUUGGGUCCACCAAGUGUCUUCCUGAAGUGUCCAACUCUCAGUAUUCACCAGUCCACUUUUCCAAGGAAGCGGUGCACUCCAGGUUACCUGUUGCACCUCAAAUCACUACUCCAUUCAACCCACAGCACGUAGGUUUAUUUAACAAAUCAUAGAGAUUUAAGUAGUACCACAUAGAAAUAUUGGAAAUAAAUAGUUACAUAUAAAACAAAAUCAUAACAUGCAUUCUAGAGCCUGGAAUUAACAAGAUACUCUCAUGUUGAACCAAGUAUUUGCUCACCCAAAAUCCCUAUAGAGCUUUACAGCCAGGCAGUCUGUGACUCUUCCUUCAUGAGACAUGCAUGCUGUCAGUUUGCCUCCUAGGUUAAGAAUUCAGUGUGUCUCGUUGCACUCCAAGUUAUACCAGUUCAAUACUUUUGUCUUUAUUCAUAAACAGGACACACACACCCUCUCUGUGUUCUCUGCCAGUUGGCACCAAAGGGUCCCUGGGUCACAGUAAGUAUUAGAUAUUACAGAAUUAAAGUAUAACCCACAUUUAGUAAAAUAAAUAUCAGAUGGUCCAUUGGGUGUACUUUGUAUUUAUACUGAUUCAAAAAGAAUCAAGAAUGAGGGGCAGAAGAAAAGAAUAUCAGGAAGAUUCUCACCUUGGUCUCUAAAAAGUGAAAGUGCUUUUUAUUCCUUUGCUCUUUUUUUUUUUGUGGUAAAUAUGAUUGUAACAGUGUCAAGAACUUGUGAGAACACUUCAUAUGAUGCCUAUUGCUGCUGCUAGCUUCUGCAGUGAUGGGCAUAGCAUCUCACUAUAUGGCCAAAAUAUAUUGUUCUAGAACUUCCAUAAUGAGGAACUAUCUUUAGUACAUCCACUCCCGUCUCCCACAGAACAUGUCUGUGCAAAACAAUUAUUAUUAACAUUUGUCUAUUGGGCCACAGUUGUACUGCAAUUGUACAGAAAUACCUGACCAAAGAUUCCUAUUAAAGGUGUAAAUUUGCUCUUUCUAUGCUGUUGUACUCACAUACAGCAUGCAUUCAUGAUAUCAAUUUUGAGGGCCCUUCUCAUAAAAGAAAUGAAUUAUGUACCUGUGGUUAACUUUUAAAGCAGACCCAAACCUGAAACAAAUCCUGUUUUAUGCAAAUAUCUGUUGUGACACAUGGGUAAUAUUUAGCCAAUGUGUCAGAGCAAUUUUACAGCCAGUGUUCAAAUUCAGAAUGAUGACCAAAAAAUUACUAUAGUAUCAUGUUGCUGCUGUUCUUGCCUCUUCUCAGCAUCAUGAGGCCAGCAGUCUACAUUCCUCCACACUCAAUUUCACAGCACAAUAGGUGCGAUGUGAAAGGUCACUAAAUACUUUUAACUAGUAUUUGGAAUGGGAUGCUUGAAGGGUGCACUCUGCCAAGGAGCACACAACCUGUAACAGAAUUAUAUAUUCCACCAAUACCCAAGAUCUGGAGGAACUAAAGUGUGUUAAAGAUCAGAGUAAUUCAUACUGAAAGCAAUUACUAUUGUAGGACAGAGGUGUAGUCAGGCUCCAUAGAAGUUGGAGAUAGAAGUGACCUAUUGGGGUCAUCUAUAACACCUCUUUCCAGUGUAGCACUGUACUUUACAGUUUAUUUUCUAGUGCUUUCUGUACUGUAUGAAUGGCAAUAACACCUAUCAGGAAUGACAACCACAAUGGCAUGAACUCAUUUCUCAGGCACAGGAGAGAAGCACAGAACAUACUAUUUAUUUUCACAAACAAAGACACACAAAAAACAAAAAGCCCCCCCCCCCCCCCCAAACAUGGGAAGAGUUUUUAGGUAUUUGCAUUAAAGAGCUUUUUUCUUUUUUGCUAUUCAAUAAGCUCUCAAACACUCUUAUUCUAAGGUCAGUCACAUUUUCCCCAGGUCUCUCUUCAAUCACUGGUAAAAUUUUGAAAAAGAAAAAUUAGGGAUGUUUUGUUACUGUAAAGGAAGAUAUUUAAUUAUUUAAUAACCUGAUUUACAUAUAUGUAGAUAAUUUGCAUAUAACCAUAUACUUCAGUUUAAAAAAAACUGUGAGGAUUUAGUGCUUCUGAAAUGUAUCGGCCUGACAGUCCUGCUGAUGGAAAUUUUCUGGUUAUCUACAGGACAGUGGCAGGGCAAGCUUCCCAAAACACAAGGCCCUGUCAGUAUAUCUUAGGCUUGGUCUACCCUACCAACUUAUGUUGGUAUAACUACAUCCCUUGGGGUGUGGAAAGUCCACCCCGAGAGAUGUAGUUAUACCCCAGUGCAGACAGUGCUAUGCUGAUAGGUGGGCUUCUGCUAAUAGGUGGGCUUCAGGGGAAUGGAGUAUCUAUGCCAAUGGGAGAAGCUGCUCUGGUACUAUAAGUGUAGACAAGCCCUCAAUCUUGGUUGAGGGGAGAGAGUUGGAACUUCCUUUACAGAUAACAGGGAUUGUUCAGUCCAUGACGCAUACGGAGUGUCAUGUUACACUCCCAGAGGGAUAUAAACAGUUUUUAAAGACACAUGCAGUAUUUAAACAUAUGAGUCAAUGCUGAUUUAGGAAUUGUCUCAUUACAAAAGCCUUCAUGUUCCAUCCCCAGUUCUUCUCAUCAUGCUUCUGAACUCCCUCUCAGUAUGGCUUAGAUGUCAGGUGUGACUGACAGUUUAAAAAUAAUCCCUGGAGAUCUGCAUUCAGGUAGUAGGUGAACCAUUAGGCUAGAGUCAAUCAGUCAUUGCUCAGUCACAAUCCACCCCUAGUAUUAAGUUAAUAGAGCUACACCAGAGAUGAAUUUGACCCUAUAUUCUAAUGAAUCUUAUAAAAUCAGUGAUUCAUAAGAAAUGUAGCGAAUUUCAGUAAGUAUGUGAAUUGAUCAGAGGCCAAAAAAAAAAAUUAAUUGAACUAA